GACGAACGCUGGCGGCGUGCUUAACACAUGCAAGUCGAACGAUGAAGGUCUUCGGACUGGAUUAGUGGCGAACGGGUGAGUAACACGUGGAUUAUCUGCCUUGCACUCUGGGAUAAGCCUGGGAAACUGGGUCUAAUACCGGAUAUUUACUGGAGGAAGCAUUUUCUUUGGUGGAAAGUUUUUUCGGUGCAAGAUGAGUCCGCGGCCUAUCAGUUUGUUGGUGAGGUAAUGGCUCACCAAGACGAUGACGGGUAGCCGGCCUGAGAGGGCGAACGGCCACACUGGGACUGAGAUACGGCCCAGACUCCUACGGGAGGCAGCAGUGGGGAAUAUUGCACAAUGGGCGAAAGCCUGAUGCAGCGACGCCGCGUGGGGGAUGAAGGUCUUCGGAUUGUAAACUCCUUUCGGCAGGGACGAAGCGAAAGUGACGGUACUGCAGAAGAAGCACCGGCCAACUACGUGCCAGCCGCCGCGGUAAAAC
rnacentral:rRNA from 1 species